rnacentral:rRNA from 1 species
UACGUAGGGGGCAAGCGUUAUCCGGAUUUACUGGGUGUAAAGGGAGCGCAGACGGCAAUGCAAGUCUGGAGUGAAAGCCCGGGGCCCAACCCCGGAACUGCUCUGGAAACUGUGCGGCUAGAGUACUGGAGGGGCAGGCGGAAUUCCUAGUGUGGCGGUGAAAUGCGUAGAUAUUAGGAGGAACACCAGUGGCGAAGGCGGCCUGCUGGACAGUAACUGACGUUGAGGCUCGAAAGCGUGGGGAGCAAACAGG